rnacentral:rRNA from 1 species
AUUGAACGCUGGCGGCAGGCCUAACACAUGCAAGUCGAACGAGUGGCGGACGGGUGAGUAAUGUCUGGGACACUGUCUGAUGGAGGGGGAUAACUACUGGAAACGGUAGCUAACACCGUAUACCCUCGGAUGUGCCCAUAUGGGAUUAGCUAGUAGGUGGGGUAAAGGCUCACCUAGGCGACGAUCCCUCGCUGGUCUGAGAGGAUGACCAGCCACACUGGAACGGAGACACGGUCCAGACUCCUACGGGAGGCAGCAGUGGGGAAUAUUGCACAAUGGGCGCAAGCCUGAUGCAGCCAUGCCGCGGGUAUGAAGAAGGCCUUCGGGUUGUAAAGUACUUUCAGCGGGGAGGCGUUACCCGCAGAAGAAGCACCGGCUAACUCCGUGCCAGCAGCCGCGGUAAUAC